rnacentral:rRNA from 1 species
AGUGAACGCUGGCGGUAGGCCUAACACAUGCAAGUCGAACGGCAGCACAGUAAGAGCUUGCUCUUACGGGUGGCGAGUGGCGGACGGGUGAGGAAUACAUCGGAAUCUACUUUUUCGUGGGGGAUAACGUAGGGAAACUUACGCUAAUACCGCAUACGACCUACGGGUGAAAGCAGGGGAUCUUCGGACCUUGCGCGAUUGAAUGAGCCGAUGUCGGAUUAGCUAGUUGGCGGGGUAAAGGCCCACCAAGGCGACGAUCCGUAGCUGGUCUGAGAGGAUGAGCAGCAACACUGGAACUGAGAAACGGUCCAGACUCCUACGGGAGGCAGCAGUGGGGAAUAUUGGACAAUGGGCGCAAGCCUGAUCCAGCCAUACCGCGGGGGUGAAGAAGGCCUUCGGGUUGUAAAGCCCUUUUGUUGGGAAAGAAAAGCAGCAGGUUAAUACCCCGCUGUUCUGACGGUACCAAAAGAAUAAGCACCGGCUAACUUCGUG